AGAUUGUGAUUGAGCUGGGACCAGCAGCCCGCCCGCAGAUUAACCGUCUGGAAAUGGCCCAGUAGAAAUGUUUUUGAGUGCAGUGCGUCCAGUGCCAUCCGCAGCCGCAUCCGCAUCAGCAAGUGCAUGAAUAAUCGCGAGUAGCCAAACGCAUACCAAGUCUCUUCUUCCUGCUCCCGUGCGGAGUCCUCCUCCUCUUCUUCUUCUCCUGUCCGGCUGUCUGGCCAAAAGCCCCCAAGCCGCCAAGAUUAAGUUCUCAAAGCAGCACGCCCAUCACGCGUACCGCCACACGGACAACAUCUACGACGGCGGCACGGACACGGACGACGACGAAUGUCCGCUGGAGGCGACCGCCAUGAAUCCCUACGAGUAUGAGUCGACUCUAGACUGCCGCGACGUGGGCGGCGGCCCCACUCCGGCUCACGCCCACCCACACGCCCAAGGACGUACGCUCCCCAUGAGCGGCCACGGGCGGCCGACGACGGACCUCGGUCCGGUCCACGGCAGCCAGACGCUCCAGCACCAAAACCAACAGAACCUGCAGGCCGCCCAAGCCGCCGCCCAGUCGUCCCACUACGACUACGAGUACCAGCACUUGGCCCACCGUCCGCCGGACACGGCCAACAACACAGCGCAGCGGACACACGGAAGACAAGGUAUGUUUCUCGAUGAGUUUCUCACUGGCUAUAAAUUUCCCCAACGUGAGUUUAAGCUAUGGCCAACUGGGCAAUCUACCCCCCACCACAGCAAGUUUCGAAAUAAUUAAUGGAUGAAGCAACACAACACACUAGUUUUGAUUCCCCUCACUGUUUGUCGGCCAGCUCACUUUCGUUUUAAAGCUGCCAGUUGAAGCCAAUAAGCCAAAGUAACUGGGUAAACACAUGUACCAGCAGCAGCACCCAAAUGGCCAACAAUUUUUAAACAAGAUAGAAAACACCCGGGAACACGUGUACACAAAGAUACACAAAGAUACGCCACAUACACCCGCAGUCGCACCCGCUUAAACUCUGUGAAAAUAGUUUCAAUAAAGGCAGCAGCAGAGGCAGCAGGAGCAGCAGAGCCAACAAGCUUGGUACACGUGCUGGUGGCUGGCCACGCUCACUAACCUACCGCCCACCGUCUCCUGCCAUUGUUAUUAUUUAUGCGAGCCAAACAGCAGCUUCCGUUUGUGCCACAUGCGGCUGGCGGAGGCAUGCAACACACGGUGGACAGGAGCGGAAGAGAAGAGCAUUUAAAAAAUGUAUGCAGCGAAGGCCUUGACUGCAAAAUGUUGCCUAAUGGCGCACUAGCUAGCUGCAUUUUUAUAGAUUUUUUUUACCAGGUCAGCGGAUCAGACAAGUGGGGGCAGCAGGGCGCUUGGUCGUUGGCUUGUUUAACAUUUUCCACAAUUUCCUUAAUCACAGGCUGCUGGCCUAGGAAACACAGCUGGUACGCGCACUACCCACUACCCUAUACCCCCUUGCAUGCCAUUAAAAGUCAACUGUUUGUUUGCCAGCGAGUUAGUGUGCGAGAGUGUCAGUGCGCGCCUCAAGUUAUGCUACAUUUGGUGGCGGUUCGUGGAGCCUCUGCAACAUUUUAAUUGCUUUACAUAAUGCAGCACCAGCAUGGCUAUGCAUAAGCGGGAGGUUGGUCAAUGGUGCCUUCUUUAAUAUUGCUCUUUUGCAGUUUUUCAUUAUUUUUAAUUGUUUGUGCAGCCAUGUGUGCUGGCACUAAAAGUGCGGCACAGCCAAAUGGCUAAAUUAAUUUGAAAAAAAAUGCAAUCAAAGCCGGCUGAGGCUGGUCAUUGAGUGUUGCGAUUGGGCUGGCAAAUUAGAGAGAAAUAUUCUUCCAGCAUCCAACAUCAUUAUUCACAUGCCUCACAGCCAACUUGGCUGCUCCCCACGCAGCAUAAUUACCAGGCGGAAACUUUUCGCAUGCAGUGGCUCCUGUUUUCCCCCUGGCCACCCCACAAACAGGAUCAGCGGAAACAACAGCGGCAGGCUGAAAUAAACUUGAAAAAUUCUGCGCAGGAGCAAAAGUUCCUUAAGACGUUCAGGGCUCAGAAACAGAAGCAGGAACAUUAAUAAAACCGCAAGUUUCCACCCCUUGAAGGCAGGAAAAAAGAAAACGAAAGUUUGGCCACUUUUCAAUUUUGGGAGCACUUCAAUUUCCACUUCCACCAGGGCUAUAUCCAGUCGAAACUGAAGCUGGGAGGGAACUUCAAAAAUUUAACGACUCUCCAAAGCCCACUAAAAGCCAGCGAGAAUGGAAUCCGGAGAAAGAGCAGUGCAGGAAAUUUAAAUUAUAUUAGGAAAAAUGAAGGGUCUUCCAGCAGACCCUCUGUCCGUCUGGACUUUUGCAAUCGGAGCGAGUAAUAAAUAAACAAAACGACAAAGCUCAAAGCUGAAAAUCUACACAAAGAGCCACUUGACCAGGGCAGAAGCAAUUGAGAGUAGAAAGGCGACAUGGAAAUAGAAUGAAAACUUUGCUUUCAAGUCACUCCAAUUAAAGUUGCUCAGAUGGAGACCGAGAUGGAGAUAAGGGAACGGAUCCAUCCCGACCCCCACCCCACCUUUCGACUAUGUUAUUUUCCCACAUUCGUAACGCG
ensembl:ncRNA lncRNA:CR45962 long non-coding RNA:CR45962